CUUAAAUGAAUUGACGGGGGCCCGCACAAGCGGAGGAACAUGUGGUUUAAUUCGAUGAUACGCGAGGAACCUUACCUGGGCUUAAAUGGGGAGUGACAGCUGUCGAAAGAUGGUUUUCUUCGGACACUCUUCAAGGUGCUGCAUGGUUGUCGUCAGCUCGUGCCGUGAGGUGUCGGGUUAAGUCCCAUAACGAGCGCAACCCUUACCGUUAGUUACCAUCAGGUUAAGCUGGGGACUCUAGCGGGACUGCCACCGUAAGGUGAGAGGAAGGUGGGGAUGACGUCAAAUCAGCACGGCCCUUAUGUCCAGGGCUACACACGUGUUACAAUGGCCAGUACAAAGGGCAGCUACCGGGUGACCGGAUGCUAAUCUCUAAAGCUGGCCUCAGUUCGGAUCGAAGUCUGCAACCCGACUUCGUGAAGCUGGAUUCGCUAGUAAUCGCGCAUCAGCCAUGGCGCGGUGAAUACGUUCCCGGGCCUU
rnacentral:rRNA from 1 species